ACCAGUGCAGGGCUCCAGUUGCUCUGCAGUGUGGGUGCAGUCCAGCUGCAGCUCGUCCCAUCAAGCAGCAGCUACUUGCCCUUCCGCCCACAAUGGUGAAGUCACAGCAGGUGAUGCUGUAGGAGAUGGGUCUCCUCUUUGAGCUUUUCUGCUCUUUCACCAGGUACCAGUGUCCAGCCUGUUGGAGAUGGUGGCUCCUGAGAAAGCAGCACCAGCAUGAAGUGGUGACCAAAGCAUGACUGCAUCAUGACCCAGUCAACAGCACCUGGAAGGUUAAUGUCUGUGGCAAGAAAAACGAUGUCUUCUCCCUGAAGGGUGGUAAUGCUUUUGUGGGCAUGCAUAAGGUGGGACAUCACGGCUUCCAGAGAUCCCUGCCAUUUACAGGAGGCUCCAGGACACGGGCAGGAGUAGGGACGAUACUCACAGAUGUCUUCGUGUUCUGGCUUUUCUGUGUGAUGUAGUGUCAGAGAGCAGCCUGUCGUUGCGUACUGGAAAAAGACCAAAUACAAGGCAUCAGGAAACAUGCCCAGCAUAACUGUUCAUUGCUCCCACCUCUGAUCAACUAGAACUCUCGUUUUCAUUGCAAAUUUUAUAUUAGAUACUUUUAUUUAGCUCUGAACUUAGAGCUGAGCUUAUUUUUUUUUCCCUCUUAAAAAUAGGUUAUUCCUGUACUUUGUUGUUGUUGUUUGUUUUUAAUGCAAGCACUUAGAUAAAAUGGAUUAUAAGGUUGAGUUGUAAAUAGAUUUGCUGAUGUAGUUAGAUCUGAUCAGCUGAAGUGGUCCUGGUAUGAAUUUUUCUUUUCUUUAAAAUGAAAAAAAUGAUGCUAGUUUGGGCAAACAGCUACUAGAGUGGUGUAUUUUUAAUAAAUACACCUAAUUACCAUCACAGAGCAAAUGCAUUUCCAUUAAACUAAAAUGCAGAAUCCCAACAGUUUUAACACUGGAACAGUUUCAACAUUGCAGUUGUGCGGAGUGGGAAGACAGAUGAUGAUUUUUUCACUGAGCGUGAGGCGGGUGCACAAAUAAGCACCAUGUGACUUCUCUUAAUGUCUCUGGGCACCUCUGAAGGUUAAUCUGCUUUAAACAAACAGGGAUGCUUUUCCUUUUUCUACAGUGAGUUCAGCGGUCUACACUGACUACAUUGCUUCCUCAUUACCUCUAGAGAGAAAAAAAAAAAUCCUUCCUGUUCUUUCCAAGGGCAUAGCUGCCCCAGCCUGUAGAGAGCUGUGGUGUUAUCUACAACACUGCUAGCACUAUCGUGAAGGUUAUAGCUUGUGUGCAUGGCUGCUUACAGAUGCUACAACACUUCCUUGAGGACAGACAUUCUUCUUUGAGACUAAAUGUGAGGACCACAUCUUUGCCAUCCUAAAGAGCAUGUCUGAAGUGCCAGAAGGCUGGCUGAAAAAAAACAAGUCUGUCUGUAUGGACUUCUGUUUUAAAAAGUCAGCAAAGGAAACCCCAACAUUUAAAUGCUUAUUUUUGGAUUAAUACAAGCGCAAGAGGUUUCAGCUCAAAGGGUUACAUGCCUGAGAUGCAAAAAGACAGAAUCCUCUUCAGUUCUGGCAAAUCACCCAUGCUGCAACACAGUGCUAGAAGUACCAGGACAGAAACUAUAGCUUGGGCUUCUGUAGGAGCUUGUUUUAUAAGCCAUAAUAUGGUAAUGUGGGCCUUCGUUUACUGUGCCUGCCCCUGCUGCUUAAUCCUCUGCAAAAGGAUUUAUUCCCACAUGUGAGCAGGAGAUGCAGGAGGGCAGAGGUGUGCUGCAGUGCAAUGGGACUGUCCUCCUGCCAAAGAGAGAAGCCCCAUCAGGCAAACACGCAGAUCCCAGUGCCAGCUGCAUGGUCACCGUACACUUCUUCUGUUUUCUCCCCACGUUCAUAUCCCUGCUGACACUUCAAUCGCACUGAACUGUGUUGAAGAGCUGCUCUGAGUAACAAAAACCUAAGUAAGAAUAUAUAGCUGCUGGCUGGGCAAAACCAGACGUCUACAUAGACCAACAUCCUGCCUCAAAAAGUGACCAGUGGUGAACACAGCAAGAGCAUGAAGUUCACUGGUGGUUUUUUCCAUCACUGUGUGACAUACCUCCUUUUGUUUGUUCCUGAACACAGUGAUGCUGGGGACAUUUGGCGAGCCCUACUGACAAUGGGAGAUUGUGAACAGAAUUACAGAAUGGUUUCAUUUGGAAGAGACCCUUAAAGAUCAUCUAGGAACAGAGAAAACUUGCUGUCCUCAUGCUGCUUGGUAAACUGUCAUUGGUAUUCACUGUACCCCUCAUUCACACUGAAAAGUCUUUCCCUGUGUACAGGUUAUACAAUACCUUUGAUCUACUUGCACCUUCUACCUUUUCCACUUCUACUAUGACCUUGAUGAGACGGGAACCAGGGCUGCAUGUGGUAUUAGCACACAUGUGCCACUAAUGCCUGGGUUGAUGUGACUGUUUUAUGCUUUUUUGUUGUCUUUCUCUCCAUUUCUAGUAUUCCAGUUUUUAGAAGUAUUAUGUACUUGUUUUCACAGUAUUUUAUUUAGCACCAUAUUUGCUUUCCUAAGAGGAAACAGCUCAGAAGUCAUCAUGAUAUAUAUAACUUAGCGUUCCAUAUUUUUGCCAUAUAUGUCACUUCAGAGGUGUUGGUCUGGGCUUCACUUUGACAGGAUAUCUGAGUGCCUUAAAGCAUUCUGAAAACAUUGUCUAAGCUUGAAAGUGCUUGGCAGGGACAGGCCAGUAUUGCUGACCUCAUAAAUGCAGGCAGGCAGCGACACGGGAUUAAAGUAACUUGUCUGGAGCCACGAGGGAAAUCAGUAGCAGAGCUGGGAAUAGACUGCCAAGUCCAAAUCCCUAUCCUGCUCCAGCCAGCAGACUCUCCCUGCAGUAUACAAGUAGCUUGAGAUACAAAUUAUGCUUCCAGGAAAGAAAAAGCCUGCCUGCUCCUGUAUGUAUGUAGAACAGCAGUGUUCAGGGACACAACAAGGAUUUACAUCCCCCUUGUGCUUUUCCCUCCUCCUGUGUUUUGUAGAAUAUCCAUCCCUGCUUUUAAGAUCCUUCCAUCCUUUCAAAGCUUUCAUUCAAGCUCAGUGACAGAUGCUCAGCACCAUCUAGCAGUGAUGUGAGAUCUGCUGGAGACACACAGCGGGGUCCAGCCCCCAAACCAGUGAGUCUCUGCUUCCCAGAGUCUUAUUCGUGUGAGAGAGAACGUUUGGGCUGCCACUGGCUGCCUGGUAGAGUGCCUCUGGAAACUCCGCUGUGCUAGCAGUGCUGGGUGUUCUGCUACAGCUCACCUGGGAAAGGGCCAGUGAGCGCUGUGCCAUUAAAUCCAGAGUGCACAGGCCCUAUACAUGUGCAAAUAGGGUAACAUAGGCAGAUCUCCAUGUGUAAGGGAUCUCUGAUCAAUUAAAGACAUUAAACAGUAAAUAUUAGAGCUUAGGGAUAUGGUUUAGUGGGGACUGUUAGUGUUAGGUUAGAGGUUGGACUCGAUGAUCUUGAGGUCUCUUCCAACCUAGAAAUUCUGUGAUUCUGUGAUUAAGCAAAACAAGCAUGCAUUUUUAUCAGAAAGAAAAGCAAAAGACCACUUUAUUAGAGUUUAUUGUGUCUUAUAUGUAUGAUCUUGUUUUAGUUUGUUGAAAAUCUUAAAAAUUACUUUUUUUUUUAAAUUAAGAAAAUUUUUGAAGAGGCCAUACAGUAGGCAUUAGAUAACAUGCAGAAGUUUCCAUACAAUACUAACAUGAAUAUGCUAUUUGUCUGCAAGUGGUUUGCGUACGUAGGAAGCCUGUCAUUCUUUCCCUUGAAGCGAUGGUGUAGCAGAAGUGGUCUAAGGACAUACAGCAUCUCUGUGUACCUCCUACCACGUGUCUGAAGAAAAUCUGAGGGAGUGAUCAGUCCGAUAUAUGAUUAGAACCAUCUGAAAACUCAGAAAUAUGGCAAUACCUCUACUUAGAGAUGGCUGUAUUAAAGGAUCUUGGAAGACCUUC